rnacentral:rRNA from 1 species
GUAGGUGGCAAGCGUUGUCCGGAAUUAUUGGGCGUAAAGCGCGCGCAGGGGCGGUCCUUUAAGUCUGAUGUGAAAGCCACGGCUCAACCGUGGAGGGUCAUUGGAAACUGGGGGACUUGAGUACAGAAGAGGAAAGCGGAAUUCCAAGUGUAGCGGUGAAAUGCGUAGAGAUUUGGAGGAACACCAGUGGCGAAGGCGGCUUUCUGGUCUGUAACUGACGCUGAGGCGCGAAAGCGUGGGGAGCAAACAGGAUUAGAUACCCUGGUAGUCCACGCCGUAAACGAUGAGUGCUAAGUGUUAGGGGGUUUCCGCCCCUUAGUGCUGCAGCUAACGCAUUAAGCACUCCGCCUGGGGAGUACGGCCGCAAGGCUG